rnacentral:rRNA from 1 species
CAGUCGCCGCGGUAAAACGAAGGGUGCAAGCGUUACUCGGAAUUACUGGGCGUAAAGCGUGCGUAGGUGGUGGUUUAAGUCCGUUGUGAAAGCCCUGGGCUCAACCUGGGAAUUGCAGUGGAUACUGGGUCACUAGAGUGUGGUAGAGGAUAGUGGAAUUUCCGGUGUAGCAGUGAAAUGCGUAGAGAUCGGAAGGAACAUCUGUGGCGAAGGCGACUAUCUGGGCCAACACUGACACUGAGGCACGAAAGCGUGGGGAGCAAACAGGAUUAGAUACCCCUGUAGUCCCUGUCUCUUAUAA